rnacentral:rRNA from 1 species
AUUGAACGCUGGCGGCAGGCCUAACACAUGCAAGUCGAGCGAGCGGCGGACGGGUGAGUAAUGUCUGGGAAACUGCCUGAUGGAGGGGGAUAACUACUGGAACCGGUAGCUAAUACCGCAUACCAUCAGAUGUGCCCAGAUGGGAUUAGCUAGUAGGUGGGGUAACGGCUCACCUAGGCGCAGAUCCCUAGCUGGUCUGGUAGGAUGACCAGCAAAACUGGAACGGAGAAACGGUCAAGACGCCUACGGGAGGCAGCAGUGGGGAAUAUUGCACAAUGGGCGCAAGCCUGAUGCAGCCAUGCCGCGUGUGGGAAGAAGGCCUUCGGGUUGUAAAGCACUUUCAGCGGGGAGGCGUUACCCGCAGAAGAAGCACCGGCUAACUCCGUGCCAGCAGCCGCGGUAAUUC